AUUAAACGCUGGCGGCAUGCCUUACACAUGCAAGUCGAACGGCAGCACGGGGCAACCUGGUGGCGAGUGGCGAACGGGUGAGUAAAGCAUCGGAACGUGCCCUGGAGUGGGGGAUAACGUAGCGAAAGUUACGCUAAUACCGCAUAUUCUGUGAGCAGGAAAGCAGGGGAUCGCAAGACCUUGCGCUCUGGGAGCGGCCGAUGUCGGAUUAGCUAGUUGGUGGGGUAAAGGCCUACCAAGGCGACGAUCCGUAGCGGGUCUGAGAGGAUGAUCCGCCACACUGGGACUGAGACACGGCCCAGACUCCUACGGGAGGCAGCAGUGGGGAAUUUUGGACAAUGGGCGGAAGCCUGAUCCAGCCAUGCCGCGUGAGUGAAGAAGGCCUUCGGGUUGUAAAGCUCUUUCGGCCGGGAAGAAAUCGCAUGGGUGAAUACCCUGUGUGGAUGACGGUACCGGAAUAAGAAGCACCGGCUAACUACGUG
rnacentral:rRNA from 1 species